AUGGCUGCCGCAGAGACGCCGCCGCCGACCGGCGGGAUGGGCUUCCUGGGGCUGCUCAGCUUCCGCCGCAGCGCCACCGCCGUCGCCUCCUUCGACCCGGCGCAGGACGACGAGCUGCUCGUCCUCGACGCCCUCCAGGCCCACGUCGCCGACCGCCUCGCCGCCCUCUCCACCUCCGCGCAGCAGGGACAGCAGGGGCCGGUGCUCUCGCUCGCGUUCCUCUCCAAGCUGCUCGACGCCGUGGUGUCCUCGGACGCCGCGUUCCGGGACGCCCUCGCCGUGGGCCCCGUGGGCGCCGCGCUCGCCAGGCCCCCCGCCGACCGCCUCGCCGCCGACCUGCUCGACCGCUCCGUCAAGGCGCUCGACGUGCUCAACGCGGUCUCCCUCGCGCUCGCCUCGCUCCGGGGCUCCCACCGCGCCGCGCUCACCGCGGCCUCCUGCCUCCUCGCCGCCGACGCGCCGCUGCUACACCGCGCGCAGUUCGCGCGCGCGCGCCGGGCCAUCUCCAGGCUCUUCCCGGACUCCAGGGCCGCGCCGUCGACCCCGUGCAGCUCGCGCGCCGCCCGCGCUCUCUCCUUCAGCGUGUCGUCCAAGAACUGGUCCACGGGGCGCCACGUGCACGCCAUGGCGGCGCACCUCGCGCCGCCGCCGCCGCAGGCCGCCACCGCCCCUGGCGCCGGGGGCGGGCUCGGGCUGGCACUCUACACCAUGAGCUCCGUCCUCGUGUUCGCCAUGUGGGCGCUCGUCGCCGCCGUGCCGUGCCAGGACAGGGCCUCCGCGGCCGCCCCCAUCGCGCCGGCCAAACAGGCGCAGUGGGCGGCGCCCAUGACGGCCCUCCAGGAGCGUAUCAUCGAUGAGUCGAGGCGCAGGGACAAGAAGGGGUCGUCCUCCGGGGCGUCCUCGCCGGCGUCCGCGGGGCUCCUCGCCGAGAUGCAGGCCGUGGAGCGCGCCGCGCGGGAGCUCAACAGCCUCCUCGAGGAGAUCGCCGAGGAGGAAGACGAGGCCGUGGAGGUGGAGGCCCCGGCGUCCAUCAGCGAGGAGCGCGCGGGGGACGUCGUGGAGCGCGCGGAGGCGCUGGCCGGCGCGUGCAGGGCGCUGGAGGACGGCCUCGCGCCGCUGGAGCGGCAGGUGCGCGCCGUGUUCCACCGCGUCGUGGCCAGCCGCGCCGAGGUCGUGCGCUGCAUGGAGCACAGCGCGCGCAGCACCGCCGGGUCCGCCUCCGGCGCGGCGGCGCAGCAACCCCAUUCCUUCUGA
rnacentral:rRNA from 1 species